rnacentral:rRNA from 1 species
AGAGUUUGAUCAUGGCUCAGGAUGAACGCUGGCGGCGUGCUUAACACAUGCAAGUCGAACGAUGAAAGCGGGAGCUUGCUCCUGCUGGAUUAGUGGCGAACGGGUGAGUAACACGUGAGUAACCUGCCCUUGACUCUGGGAUAAGCGUUGGAAACGACGUCUAAUACCGGAUACGACCUUCGGAGGCAUCUCCUGGGGGUGGAAAGAAUUUCGGUCAAGGAUGGACUCGCGGCCUAUCAGCUAGUUGGUGAGGUAAUGGGCUCACCAAGGCGACGACGGGUAGCCGGCCUGAGAGGGUGACCGGCCACACUGGGACUGAGACACGGCCCAGACUCCUACGGGAGGCAGCAGUGGGGAAUAUUGCACAAUGGGCGCAAGCCUGAUGCAGCAACGCCGCGUGAGGGACGACGGCCUUCGGGUUGUAAACCUCUUUUAGUAGGGAAGAAGCGAAAGUGACGGUACCUGCAGAAAAAGCACCGGCUAACUACGUG